GCCGCGCCUGCGCAGUGGCGGGCGGGCGGCGGUUAGGCGCUGCUGACGGGCUCCUGGUGGAGGAUGGGGCGAUGGAGCCGCCCAAAGAGGCGCCGAGACUUUCCAACGCGUUUGAAAACCGCGAUGGACGCCUCCAUCCGCCGUUCGCGGCCCAGUUUCUACAGAAGAGUGCCCCUGGCCACCCGGAUGCCAUGCACGUCAGAGGGUCUGAGUAUCCUUCGGUCCGUCAUGGUCAGGACCAUGGCAGGACGGCUUUGCCCAAGGAUAAGAACAAGGAGGGCACCGGGUACCGGCUGCUCAACAUGCUGAGAAAAACUCUGAAAGGGUCUGAGAGUGAAGAACUGGAAGUAACACCUGAAAUACCAACUUUGGUGCCAUUUGGGGAUGUGGUUGGCUGCCUGGCCAUACAUAUAAAGAACUGCAGACAUUUUAUGUCUAAGAUCAGUUCACAACAUUAUACUAAUUUGUUCAUUCGCAUCUCUAUUAACAAUGUUGUGAAAUCUACAAAACUUUGCAGCUUGCUAUCCAGAAACAAUGAAAAAGUCAAUGUAAUUGAGUUUGAUGAAGUGAAGUAUUUUUCUGUAAAGGUUCCUAGACGUCAAGAUGAUGAGCGGAAUAAUAUUUACCUGGAACUAAUGCAACAUGACAGUAAAGAAAAAUAUCCUCUCUUUUUAGGGAGCUCUGAAUUACAUCUUUAUGAAGUAAUCCAGAAAGGUUGCUUUACUGAAGAAUUGCAAAUGAUGAAUAAAAACACAUUUAUCUGCAGGGUGGAAGUGGAAUUUAUGUUCUCCUAUGGAAACUUUGGUUAUGGAUUUUCUCAUCAGUUAAAACCUCUUCAGAAAAUUAUUGAGCCGUCUAUGUUUAUGAAAGUUGCACCACCUCCAGAAAGAACAGAUCCCGUGACAAAUGUUAUUUUACCACAGCCAGUAGAAUAUCCAGCAUUUUUAUCUCCAGACCUGAAUGUUACUGUUGGGAAUCCAAAUACCAUGCCCCAGCUGAACCAGCCAUCCAUGGUGCGGCUCGAAAAGCUACAGCAACAACCCCGGGAAAGGCUGGAACAAAUGAAAACAGAAUAUAGAAAUCUGAGGACAUGGAUGGAAAAAGUUGGCUAUUUAGACAAAAUUAUUAACCCAAAAUUGGAAGAUAAAGAUUCUAAGGAAAUCAUGAAUGAGGCACUUGAAAGCCAGCAUAGUGAUCUAUCUGACGAGAUGCCUGAAGAUACUCUAGCAUUAGAUGUUAUUCCUGAAGACAAGGAAGAUACUCCAACUGAGUUACCAGACAGUGAUGAAAAGGAAGACUUUACUAUACCAUCUUUGAAGCAGUUAUAUCAUGAUAAUGCAAUUGCUGGUACUCCUAAAAGUGAUGGGUCAACAACUCUGUCCACAGAUACUGCAUUGCCCUCCGUUCCUAGCCUGGAAAUAACGGAAGGAAAAAAAAUACAACCUUUACCUGAACACCUAGCAGAAGAUGUGCCAGGUGGAAAAAUGAAAAAUUUACUAUUUCCUCUGGACAUAAAAUCAUGCGGUAGUAAUCCAAGAAUUUUAAAAGCAGACUCAUCUCUAGCAGAGGAUUCUGUGGUGUUGACUCUGCUUAGUUGGGCAGUUUUCUACUCCAAUUGAUGUUGGGUACUAGAUGGACUUAUGGUCAGCUAGUGCUUGACUGGAGCACUCAUGAAAACACUUUGAUGGGAACAGCUGUAAGGCUGGGCUCCGCUGGGAUGCACGGACAUCGGGUUUCACAGGAGCACCAUCUCAUGCUAUUACUGCAUUAGGCUUAAGCUUGAAGAACAGAAUGUCAUCAUCUAAAUCAAGUCCAGGUGGGAGAGGCUCCUUGGGUAUGUCUCCUCUCAGUCUUAAAACCCAUGAAUUAAAGACAGUUAUCUACCCCCCCCCCCAACAUACAAUAGUGAGUCAAGGACAGAAAACCUGUAGUAGACACUUAUAUUCCACAGAUGGAGGGAGGGACAAUGUGAGGCAGAGAGCCUCAGUAGAACACAGUAAUUCUGAAGUUCUUGGCUUUGCCCUCAGAUCUUUACUGUUCUUUCUGAAUAGACUUUCUUCCUCCGUAAGAAAGCAUCAGUGUGUAGCUGAGUAGCUUUGCAGCUUGCUGCGGUGACUCUUCCUCGUCACCACCGGAGAAUUAGGCAGGCUGCCCGCAGCUUGCCUGGCUGAGGAGGGGAAGUGCGCCACCCACCACUCUGCUUCCCCGAACCCUGGGGGACAGUCAGAGAACCCCGGUGGCAGUCAGACGCGGUGGGGAGUCCAGUUGAAGCAGGAUCUCACUUUACUGUAAAAGGGAGGUGUUUAUAUAGCUGUGGUACAGAGCGGAUGUGGGCAAGGGGUGGGGUGACGUGAUGCAAAAGGGUUUCAGCCAAUCCUGUUAUACCACCUCAAUGACCAUUAGGCAAAAGUACCCCGGGGCUGGGUUGAUUACCUCCAGGGAUUUGGAACUUAAAGACAGGUUUUCAAAUUUGAGGCAGGCCUAGGAAGUUCCUCUAGGCCUUUCCGGAUUCAGCCUCCCCCACAGCUCCCUCUUUUUGCUUUAACACGGUCCCUGUCUUAGGUUGCCCCCAGCCAUUCUUUCCCUUACCCAUCAUUGGUAACCCAGGCAGCUUGGCCAUGAGCCCUGUCUUAGGUUGGUACAGGACGCUGAGUGCUUUACCCAUCUUGGGGUGUCACGUGACUUGUAAAUAUGGGAGUGUGGUGAGCCUUCUCCACCGCCUGUCUUAGGUUGUUCUAGUCCAUUGGAAUCUUACCCGUCAUUGGCAAUGUGGAGAGCACCAGUGGCGCUUCCCCAGUCUAGGGGAUCGUAGCCUUCUGUGGCUACCAGCCUCUGGUAAUGAACCUCAACCUGUCUCAACUUGUUGCCUCUAUCCGCUGUUGUAUAAACUAUAUAAGCCUACUCAUUAUGAUUGGGCCAACAGCAAGGAUUAAAAGCAGGGCAAGAAGCAGUACAAGAAGAGGGAGGAGGUAGGGCAAGAGUCCAUUAAGGCUCAUCCAAAAGGGGCUUUCUUGGAGUUUUCUUCGUCUUUUUUGGGUCAUCGAAUCCCCCUUCACUGGGCGGGGCACUUAUUGUCAGGAUCACAGCGAAGAGUAGUGUCCGCAUCAUCAACUGCCUCUGGAUCUCUGUCCGUUUCAGGAAUAGGGAAGACAAGGGGAUCUCCCUCAGGGGCGUACCACUCCCUGGGUGGGUUGUUACUUGUAUAGUGCAUAGGCCUGAUAUUUCUGGCCGGUAUCCAAAUCGGAGUCAACUCCCCUAUGGGGAACACACAGCCAAAUCCUCUUCCAGCUGAGGAGGGGAAGUGCGCCAACCACCACUCUGCUUCCCCGAACCCCGGGGGACAGUCAAAUCUGGUGGGGAGUCCAGAGGAAGCAGGAUCUCACUUUAUUGAAAAAGGGAGGUGUUUAUAUAGCUGCGGUACAGAGCGGAUGUGGGCAAGGGGUGGGGUGACGUGAUGCAAAAGGGUUUUAGCCAAUCCUAUUAUACCACCUCAAUGACCAUUAGGCAAAAGCACCCGGGCUGGGUUGUUUACCUCCAGGGAUUUGGAACUUAAAGAUAGGUUUUCAAAUUUGAGGCAGGCUUAGGAAGUUCCUCUAGGCCUUUCUGGAUUCAGCCUCCCCUACAGCCUAUGUUUUGUCUGUAUAAAGUUGGAGGUUCAGAUGCAUCUUUUCUUUUUUUUUCUUUUUUUGACAGGCAGAGUUAGACAGUGAGAGAGAGAGAGAGAGAGACAGAGAGAAAGGUCUUCCUUUUCUGUUGGUUCACUACCCAAAUAGCUGCUACGUCUGGUGCUGCGCUGAUCCGAAGCCAGGAGCCAGGUGCUUCUCCUGCUCUCCCAUGCGGGUGCAGGGCCCAAACACUUGGGCCAUCUUCCACUGCAGAGAGCUGAAAUGGAAGAAGAGCAACCGAGACAGAAUCUGGCGCCCCAACCGGGACUAGAACCCAGGGUGCUGGUGCCGCAGGCGGAGGAAUAGCCAAGUGAGCCACGGCGCCGGCCUCAAAUGCAUCUUUUCAUUUUAUGCUACCCUUAUUCCUUUAAGUCCAAGUUGCUAUGAUUCUUUUAAAUGUUUUGUGAGCUCCCCAUGCAUCAAAUUAUUAUCUUAAUUAUCCAAGUGUUACACCUUUUAACAGCUUUAAAGACAAGCCCCUAUUUCCUUGUGUUGAGUCAGGGUCCUGUAGCACAAUAUUCUGAAGAAUUUUGUAAGUGCUCCCAUCUAACAGAGAAGGACUAUGAUGCUAUCCAAGAUCCUUAAAAUUCUGUUGUGUGUAUGUUUUUUUAAAUAGCAGAAAUAUCAAACUUAACAUGAUCAAAACAAAACUUUGAAUUCCACCUCCAUCUAUUCUUCACUCCCAGCUUUUUCCUGUGGUCUAGAUAGACUUAAAUAUGCAUAGAACUAGUAGGUUUAUUGUCGCUCCCCCUCUUCAUGGAGGAACGACACUGAACCCUGCCUAGGCUUCCUAUCCGAGUCACGGCACCAUUAUGUCGCUCCCCCGUCUUCGCGGAGGAACGACACAGGACCCUGCGUUGUUCUUUCGUCUGCUCGGCCCUCCCCGGGUUUGCUGCUGGUUCUUCCCGGGUUGGCUACCGACCCUUCCACCUCCGUGGAAGGGCGGUUCCCCCUGCCACAUUCCCCACUUCCGCGGGGGAGCGGCACACCGCCGGCCGGCUCUCUCGGGGGCUGCACAGGUGUUCCUUCAGAUAGAUGUUCCCGUUAGACGUUCCUGGUGCAUGUUGUCUCUCUCCUCCUUUAUAGUCCUCUUCCAAUCCCAACUCUGCUACCCACACGCCGAGUACGCUGCUCUCCUCCAAUCAGGAGCAGGUCCUGCUGUUUAUUGGUUGAACUGGAGGCAGCUGCGUAGAAGCUGUUUCUCCCUUCUCAGCGCCAUAUUGUGGGAGAGCAGAUGUAUAGAAUAAGUCUUAAUUCCAGUAACUUAGUCUAGUCCGGGUUGCUCCCCACAGUUUAUGAUGCAGUCUCUUAGGUAGAAGCUGUAAAAACUGAGGUGCACAGUAUGGUAAAACUCUUUCCAGAAGGCAUUAGUAGACCUGGAGUUAUCACUGGGACAAGUUAUAUUGAGAAAUGCUAAUGUACUUAGGUCAGCAGCAUGUCAACACUUGUUUGCCUCACUAAUGAAUGAUAUGGAAUCACAAAAGACCAAGAAUAACCAAAGUGAUCAUGAGGACAAAACAUCAAGCUGGAGAUAUCACAAUUCUAAUUUCUUUUUUUUAAAAAGAUUUUUAUUGGUUUAUUUGAGAGGAAGAGUUAAAGAAAGAAGGAGAAACAGAGAGAACAGUAUUCCAUCCACUGGUUCACUCCUCAAAUGGCUGCAAUAGCUACUGCUGGACUGAUCUGGAGCCAAGAGCCAGGAGCUUCUUUCAGGUCUCCCACAUGAGUGCAGGAGCCCCAGCACUUGGGCUAUCUUCUGCUGCUUUCCAAAGCCAUAGCAGAGAGUUGUAUUGGAAGAGGAGCAGCUGGGACUCAGACUGGUCCUCAUAUGGGAUGCUGGCACCGCAGCCAGAGGAUUAGCCCAGUAUGCCACAGCACUAUCCCCACAAUACCUAAUUUCAAAGCAUACUACAAAGCUAUAGUAAUUAAAACAGCAUGGUACUGACAUAAAAGCCUAGCACAUAUGUUAAUAUAACAGAAUAGAGAGCACAGAAAUUAAUCCACAUACAUACAGUCAACUGAUUUUUAACAAACAUGCUCAGAACAUACAUUGAAGAAAGGAUCAUCUUUUUAAUAAAUGGUGCUGACAAAACAAUGUUUAUGUCCAUAAAAUGAAAUUAGAUUCCUAUCUCUUAUCAUAUACAAAAAUCCACUCACAGUGGAUCAAAGACCUACAUUUAAGACCAAAGAAUAUGAAAUUGCCAGAAGAUUGUAGGAGAAAUACUUGGUAUAGAAAUGGUAUAGAUGAUGACUUCUUGGAUAAGACACUCAAAGCACAGGCAACAAAGCAAAACUAGACAAAUGGGAUUUUAUUAAAUUUGGAAGUUUCUUCACAGCAAAAGAAACAAUAGAGUUAAGAGGUGUCUGACAGAAUGGGAUAAAAUAUUUACAAGCUAUUUAUUUAGCAGAGGGUUAAUAUCCAGAAUAUAUCAACAACUCAAAGCACUCAACAACAAAAAUAGUUUAGUACAGAAAUGGGCAAAGGACAUGAAUAGACAGUUCUAAAAAGAAGAAAUAUAAAUGGCUAACAAAUAUAUGAAAAAUAUGCUUACUAUAACUGGCCAUCAGGGAAAUGCAAAUCAAUACCAGAAUGAGGUAUCACCUCAUUACCCCUGUCAGAAUAUCAAUAUAUCCAAAAAACAGCUACAAGUACUGGUAUGGAUCUUGGGAGAGGGGAACUCUUAUACAAUCUUGGUGGAAAUAUAAAUUGGUGUAUCCACUGUAGAAAACAAUAUGGAGAUUUCUCAAAAAACUAGAAAUAGACUUGCUGUAUGUUCCAACAGUCCUACAAUAUCUGCUCUACCAUAUUUAAAGCAGCACUCUUUAAAAUAGCCAAAUAUGGAAUCAAUGAAGUUGUCCAUCAUCAGAUGAGUAUAUAUAAAAAAAGUGUGUGUGUGUGUAUAGACACACACAAUGGAAUAUUAUUCAGCAAUUAAAAAUGAAGUUUAUCAUUUGCAGCAAAAUGAUUGGAAGUGGAGGACAUGACAUAGAGUGAAAUAAGCCAAACACAGAAAAAUACUGCAUAUUUUCCCUUAUGUGUGUGAGCUAAAAUUUAAAACAGUGCUUGGGCCCUGCACCCCAUGGGAGACCAGGAUAAGUACCUGGCUCCUGCCAUAGGAGCAGCGUGGUGCGCCGGCUGCAGCGUGCAGCCAUGGCGGCCAUUGGAGGGUGAACCAAUGGCAAAGGAAGACCUUUCUCUCCUGGCUUCAGAUCAGCGUGGUGCGCUGGCUGCAGCACACUGGCCACAGUGGCCAUUGGAGGGUGAACCAACGGCAAAGGAAGACCUUUCUGUCUCUCUCUCUCACUGUCCACUCUGCCUGUCAAAAAAAAAGGUCAAAGUCUGCACCAGAAAAAAAAAAACUAUUAGAAAUAAUGAAUUCAGAAAAGUUUGCUUGAUACAAAAUCAGCAUGCACAUUCAGUAGCAUUGCUAUAAAUCAAUAAAAAAAUUGUCUUUGAAAGAAACCAAGAAACUGAUCUCUUUUUCAAUAGCUAUAAGAUACAAAUAUCUAGGAAUAAAUAUAACCAAGUAUAAUAUCUCUACAAUGAAAACUUUUUAAAACAUUGGUGAAAGAAACUGAAGAGGACACAAGGACAUGGAAAAAAUAUCUGGAGUUCACAUAUUGAAAGUGUCAGUGUUGUUAAAAUGUCUUUUCUAGUCAACAUAAUCUACAGAUUCAAUAUGAUUCCUGUGAAAAUACCAAUGAUACUCUUUACAGAACUAAAAAAAAAAAUCUAAACUUUACAUGGAACCACAAAAGCCCUGAAUGCCCAAAGCAAACAUAAGCAAAACCAAAACCAGUCAGGAGGCAUUACACUACCUGACUGCAAAAUAUACUAUAAAAGCUACAGAAAUAACAUGGUAUAGCAACAACAACAACAAAAGUAGACAUACAUCAAUGAACAGGAUGAAGUGCCUAGAAGUAAACCCUUGUGUCUGAUCCUUAACAAGGGCACUACGAACAUGCACUGGAGAAAGGGUAGUUAAAAUGGUGCUGUGAAAACUGGAUAUCCACCUGCACAAGAGGGAAGCUAGAACUCUCCUACCAUACGCAAAAAUCCCCUCAGUGGAUUAAAAACUUAUAAGAUCCGAAACUCUGAAGCUUCUAUAAUAAAACAUAGAGGAAAUGCUUCAGGACAUUAGGGAAUGGGCAAUGAUUUUUUUUGGUUAAGACUCCAAAGGCAAAGACAGAUAAAUGAUAUUUCAUCAAAUUAAAAAGUUUCUACACAGCAAAAUGAGAGACUUACAAUACAGGAGAAAAUACUUGCAACUUAUAAUCUGACAAGAGGUUAAUAAUCAGAAUGUCUUAGGAAUUUAAACAAUACAAUAGAAAAAAUCUGAUUAAAAAUAGGCAAUAAAUUGAAAUAGAUAUUUUUUUAAAUAAGGCAUAAAAAUGACCAAAAAUAUAUGAAAACAUGUUCAACAUAACUAAUAACCAGGGAAAUGUAAAUAAAACCAUAAUGAGAUAUAACCUCAUUCCAGUUAGAUUGGCUAUUAUCAAAAAGACAAAAGGCAAAUGCUAGUGAGGCUGUGGAGAAAAGGGAACACUUUCACUGUGUGUGGGAACCUGUAUUAGUAUAGUCAUGUGGAAGAUGGCAUUGAGGUACCUUAAAAAUAAAACUACCAUGUGACUCAGUAAUUUCACUAUUGGGUGUGUAUCUAAAGGAAAUGAAAUCACUCUGCCAAAGAGACAUCUGUAGUCUAAUGUUUAUGGCAGCACUAUUCACAAUAGCUAAGAAAUGGAAACAACCUAAAUGCCCAUCAACUGAUAAGUGACUAAAGAAAAUAGUGUAUGCAUACAAUGGAAUACAACUCAGCCAU